rnacentral:rRNA from 1 species
UGUAGUCUCGCACAGAUGCAUAUCAAUAAGCGGAGGAAAAGAAACUAACAAGGAUUCCCCUAGUAACGGCGAGUGAAGCGGGAAGAGCUCAAAUUUGAAAUCUUAAAGGGUUUCCCUUUACGAAUUGUAGUUUAAAGAAGUGUUUUCUGUUGAGGUUUUGGUAAAAGUUCUUUGGAAUAGGGACAUCAUAGAGGGUGAGAAUCCCGUAUUUGACCUUUACUUUCAACUUUGUGAUACACUUUCAAAGAGUCGGAUUGUUUGGGAAUGCAGUCCAAAAUGGGUGGUAAAUUUCAUCUAAAGCUAAAUAUUGGCGAGAGACCGAUAGCGAACAAGUACCGUGAGGGAAAGAUGAAAAGAACUUUGAAAAGAGAGUUAAACAGUACGUGAAAUUGUCAAAAGGGAAGCGUUUGACACCAGUGUUGUUUUUCUGAAAAUCAAUUAAAGAACUGUUUAUGCUAAGCUGUUUAGACUUUAUCAGCUAAUCUGUUUAGUUUUGAGCUUUUCUUUAAUGCACUUUUCAGUUAACAAGUCAACAUCAAUUUCUUUUGCUGUAAAAAAGCUUGAGGAAGGUGGCUUGAGAUUCGUCUUAAGUGUUUAUAGCCUCUUGCCUAUGCAGUCGGAGAGAUUGAGGUCUGCAGCGUAGAUCCUUCGGGGCUAAAUGCAUUUGUGCUAAGUUAUAACAUUUUAUAGACAACUUGUUGACUAUGAUUUGUCUUGUAGCUUACUCGCUUAUGUUAUUUUACCUACGCUUAGGAUGUUGAUCUGUAGUGCGUGCGC